CCACACACACACACACACACUCGCGAGAGGAAGAACGUAAUCAGAAGAAAGGCGCCGCUCCUCUCUCUGCCAGCGUCCGGCAACGUUGACGGGACGCCGCACAUGGCGCGAGCCCGCCUCUGUCUCUUCCUCCUCUUCCCUCGUGUCGCAUCAGCAUCACCGCCGCAAAGGAAUCAGCCGUUCAUGCCACGGAUCACCAGCGCCGCCAUCAAGUCCCCUUUGCAGUCCAGGAGAGGGUUCAGGGCACCGCUGAGGCGAUCGGGUAUACAUGCGGCUCCGCGUGCAACCCUGACGCAUGCGUUGGGUAGCGCAGGCAGUGCUGCGCGCGGUGCCGCUGCGUCUGCGCGCGCGCAAAGCACGUCACCUCACUCGACCGAAAAUGGCGCAGCGGCCGACACGCUCGACAUGUUCCCAUACGAUGCAGAAAACUGCGGCAGCAGCAUGCUCGCGCCGCUGCCUUACCGCCAAACCACCACUGCGACGAGGGACUUCGCGCGACCCCGCUGCCUUUGCCGUCCUAUCGCGAUGAGCAUGGAGUCGGUUUCCAGCUGGGAGGAGGACGCAGAGACCAGCAGUGUAUCUGGGUCUGAAGGCGGCUGCUACGCGAGCGCCCGCCGGCAACCUGCACACGCAUCGAUGAUGGGGCAUCCCAUGUGCCGUGAACGGUCGCCACAACGCGUUACGGCUCAACCUACAGGCAGUAGUGAUGUCGAUGAAGGAAACAUCGCACCAGUGUCCGCGCUUCAUCGACUCAACGCGCGUCUCACUCGCGCGAGACGACGCAAUCGAAGGCAUGCAUCGUCCUCUUGCUCAGACGCCGCCGCCACUUUGUCUCAGCAGUCGACCGGCGUCAGCGAUCGUAGCCGUUGUCGUGUACGCCCUCAGCAGCCUCCAUCACAGUUGGCCGGAGAGCUCGUUUCGUCGGACAGCGUCAUCGACUUGCUGAGCGAGGACUGGCCGAGUGAAGCUUGGCUGGUAUGAAGCAGGUGUCCGUGGGUGGCGAGGUGCCCAGCGCCUUACAAGCCUCAUCAUACAAGGCGCGCUGAGCCGCCUCUUGCCACUCAGGCGUGGCACGCGCUUCACGCCUUUUCCAACGUGUGCAGAAGUUAGCCGUUGUACCUGCGUAGCUCACCUGCGCCCUUCUGCAUUUCGCAGGGAGUUGCAUACUUCUCUUUCCUUUUGUUUUUUUCUAUGUGUGUAUGUGGGAGGAGAAGGGAGCUCUAUAGUACCCCCACCCGCCCACCCACCCACCUAUCACCCCCUUCGCUUCGUCUGCU
rnacentral:misc_RNA from 1 species